AACGAACGCUGGCGGCAGGCCUAACACAUGCAAGUCGAGCGGACCCUUCGGGGUUAGCGGCGGACGGGUGAGUAACGCGUGGGAAUAUGCCCUUCUCUACGGAAUAGUCCUGGGAAACUGGGGGUAAUACCGUAUACGCCCUUUGGGGGAAAGAUUUAUCGGGGAAGGAUUAGCCCGCGUUGGAUUAGGUAGUUGGUGGGGUAAUGGCCUAACAAGCCGACGAUCCAUAGCUGGUUUGAGAGGAUGAUCAGCCACACUGGGACUGAGACACGGCCCAGACGCCUACGGGAGGCAGCAGUGGGGAAUCUUAGACAAUGGGGGCAACCCUGAUCUAGCCAUGCCGCGUGAGUGAUGAAGGCCUUAGGGUUGUAAAGCUCUUUCAGCUGGGAAGAUAAUGACGGUACCAGCAGAAGAAGCCCCGGCUAACUCCGUG
rnacentral:rRNA from 1 species